rnacentral:rRNA from 1 species
AUUGAACGCUGGCGGCAUGCCUUACACAUGCAAGUCGAACGGCAGCACGGGAGCAAUCCUGGUGGCGAGUGGCGAACGGGUGAGUAAAGUAUCGGAACGUGCCCAGUCGUGGGGGAUAACGUAGCGAAAGCUACGCUAAUACCGCAUACGAUCUAUGGAUGAAAGCGGGGGAUCGCAAGACCUCGCGCGAUUGGAGCGGCCGAUAUCAGAUUAGGUAGUUGGUGGGGUAAAGGCCCACCAAGCCGACGAUCUGUAGCUGGUCUGAGAGGACGACCAGCCACACUGGGACUGAGACACGGCCCAGACUCCUGCGGGAGGCAGCAGUGGGGAAUUUUGGACAAUGGGCGCAAGCCUGAUCCAGCAAUGCCGCGUGCAGGAUGAAGGCCUUCGGGUUGUAAACUGCUUUUGUACGGAGCGAAAAGGCUCUCUCUAAUACAGGGGGCUCAUGACGGUACCGUAAGAAUAAGCACCGGCUAACUACGUGCCAGCAGCCGCCGUAAAAC